rnacentral:rRNA from 1 species
UACGAAGGGGGCUAGCGUUGCUCGGAAUCACUGGGCGUAAAGCGCACGUAGGCGGAUCUUUAAGUCAGGGGUGAAAUCCCGGAGCUCAACUCCGGAACUGCCUUUGAUACUGAGGGUCUUGAGUCCGGGAGAGGUGAGUGGAACUGCGAGUGUAGAGGUGAAAUUCGUAGAUAUUCGCAAGAACACCAGUGGCGAAGGCGACUCACUGGCCCGGUACUGACGCUGAGGUGCGAAAGCGUGGGGAGCAAACAGG